UACAGAGGGGGCAAGCGUUAUUCGGAAUUAUUGGGCGUAAAGGGCGCGUAGGCGGCUUGGCAAGUGGAUGGUGAAAUCCCUCGGCUUAACCGAGGAACUGCCGUCCAAACUGCUUCGCUUGGGACCGGGAGAGGUGAGUGGAAUUCCCAGUGUAGCGGUGAAAUGCGUAGAUAUUGGGAGGAACACCAGUGGCGAAGGCGGCUCACUGGACCGGUACUGACGCUGAUGCGCGAAAGCGUGGGGAGCAAACGGG
rnacentral:rRNA from 1 species